AAAAAAAAAAAAAUUAAUAAAGAGAAACAAAAUAUUGAAACCAUCUCGAAAUGCUGUAAUGAAUAAAUAAAUUAAAUAAAAUAAGAAAAAAAAUAAAAAAAUUUCUAUAAAGUUAAAAAUAAAUAAAAUAAAAUCAAUUUAAAAAAAAAAAAAAAGAAACCAAAAAACGUCGAGCCAUUCCUACUUUUGCUCAUGUUCUCAUCUCACAUUUCUCACGUAUCAUCUUUUCUUCUCUACUUCGGGUUACACACCUUGGGUUACGCUUCCUAAAAGAUUAUAAAUGGUCUUUAGCUACACCUUACUUCUCCUUAUUAUUGAUUUAACAAAACCAUCAUUGCAGUUCGUCUAACAAAAUAAUGGUUUACCAACUCUCUAUUGCGUAGUUGUGUAAUCCGCAGUUUGCAGCAUCUCGUAAUAUUCCCUGCUUAUAACGGAAUUUCACGAUGUAUCGCAUGCAAUACGUGCGGCGUUGAAACAAUUGUGUUAUUGUGCGCAGUGUGUGUAAUACCUGAAUGAGAUUGCCUCUACUAAGCCAUACUCACUUUGAACAUGGUUGUGGUUAUCUUUUAAAUAACGUUUUGCAAAGUGUUAUUGUUUUUGCUCUAAUUGUUUUUUUUUUCAACAAGUGAAGUUCCCCUAUUUAGAUCAAAAUUUCAUCACCCAAUAACAACACCAUCAUGCAAAGAAUACUUCGGAAUUUUAAAAGACAAAGAAAACUUCUUAAAAUUUAUUUACAGAAAUAAGUUUGUUUCCUAAGGGAUACUCACUCUAAAGACAAGAUGCACUUCCCCUUCUUCCUCUCUUUCUCUCUCUCUCUCUCUUUGAACUAGUACCACCACUUCGCUUCUCUCCACUUUGAACCUCUAACCUAGCGAGGGUUUUACCGUACUCGCUAUCUCGCUUUGCAAAUCCACAAAGCUUCUGUAUUACAUCAUAAGAAAGUAGAGUGGGCGCUCAUUGGAAAUAGCUUACGUAGCUCAGAAAACGAAUGGUGCGAAGAAAAGGGGCUUUGCUAGAAGCUGCUCAUUAUUUGUCUGAUUGGAUAGCGAGCUAUCUGAUAGAAAACUACGUAAUUCCUUGGAUCGCAGUUUUCUCCAGUUUCUAAUGCUAACUGACGCAAAUGUGAUGUAAUGGGCUGCGAUCAUAAUGACAUGAGCAAUUGGACAAGAAGCUAUAAAUACGAGUCCAAGUUCAACAGUUUAAUCAUUCAAUUCAAUUCCAAUCAAUUUAAUUGUCUUAAAU